ACAGGCAAAGCAGUUUCUCACUUUGGAUAACUGAUACAAAGUCAUCUAUAAAUUUAGAGCUGAAAUAAUAUAAAUGGCCCUUUCAACCAUGACCAGCUGAAAAUAAUACACUUUUUUUUUAAGUGAAAGUACGUGAUUUUUCACACCUAGCAAUUUGAGAGUUCAGUGUUAAUGUGGUGUUUCUAAUGAGAAAUUGUUACUAGAAGCAUAGGAGUGAAAUAGUGUGAAAUGGUGGUGAGUGUGUCUAUCAUAUUACUGUAGGUACUUGGACUGGUGCAAACUUGAUUACCUUUAAUGGCCCUUUUUAGGAGCUGUUAAAAUAUUAUUGAAAAUUCAGUACCAAUAGUUUGGUUUCAUGUAAUAGGAAAUAACAAAACUUACUUUAAAGCUUCUCAGCUAUUUAUGAAGAGCUCACCUGACUUAAUUGAAAUUCACUAGAAUGUAUUGAACAAAAAAAUGUUAUCACGGUAAAAUUCCACAUGUUAAGUCUUGUAGGCUUUAAAAUAUUUGGUUAGGUUUAAGAAAUAUGUGUUAUGCAGGGAGGCAGUUCAGAUGAAUGUGUUGUAGCAGACAGUUUUUUUUUUUUUAAUGGUGUUAGACUUGAAUUCAUCUAGUUAUUGUUUGAAUGAGGGUGGGUGGGUAGAAGGAUAACAAAAUUACUGUUAGUGUUUCUUUCCUUAAGGAAAAAGAUGUGAAUCCCAGCCUUAUUUCAGGGAAGCCUUUGAAGCUAUGAUGGACGUAAGUCUAAAUUAAAUGUAUGUAUGUUUCAUUAUAUUGCUCUUAAAAGACUACUGAGGUGGCAGUUUAAUUCUUAAAAACAAUAAAAUGAAAGCAUAAAUACUAUUUUGCCUAGGUGAGUUUUUACCUAAUGAUGACACAUUUGGGAGACUGCAGAAUUUUCCACGUCGAUACAACUUUUACAGCAAAAUUUCACGUUUUGGGAGAUUAAAACCAGCAAGGUGAACGUUAAUAUUUCUAAAGUGGCAUGCUUGUUCAGAGUAUAAUAUAUAGUAUUGGAGAAAAUUAUCAGUUGCAAAGAUUGUAAGAAACUACUUAAUAUUCAUUUUGCCCUGUAAAAAACCACUUGCUCAAGUUAUUGUAUAAGAGACUAACACUAAAACGCAAAUGGAAAAGAUAAUUUGACCGUAUUUUUAAACUUGAAAUAGGUCAUUUUAUGAUAUGAAGUAUACAGAGCUGCUUUUGGCUUUGUUCUGAUGUACUCGAAGGGUAUCUUUCAUACGUCUUUUUGGAAAAACCAUGUAAACUUAUUUUUGAAAAAGCGUUAAUGGAAAAAAAAAGUAUGUGGAAAAAUCUCAAGUACCUGAAACCAAAAUACACUUUUCUGAUUAUUAGAUCAACCAUCAAAUUGGUAUAUUGAUGUUAAUUGAGGCUUGACAUAAUCAUACUAUAUUCUAACUGAAGUGGAUUUAUUUUUCUUUACUGGUUUGUAAUUGUAAUCUGUUCAGUUGUGGCCUAGACCAAGCAGACUUUACGUACUACAAUAUAUGCACGAUCUAAUAAAGCAAUAUUGGAUAUACUAGACUUAAAGGGGAAAGAGAGGUAAGCCAGGUAAAAUACUUGGUAAUAAUACUAAUAAAAAUAUUUGAAUUUUC
rnacentral:lncRNA from 1 species